rnacentral:lncRNA from 9 species
AGUAAAAUCUCAGAUAAAGGGAAAAACUGUAUAUCCAGGGAGGGUAAUAAUUUUACACAGGCUUGCAGAUAAACUCAAAGAAUCUACUUGCCUGGCUCAAAUUUAACAAGGGUUACAAUGUUGCAUCUCGGGCAGGAAGAGUAGGACAAUGAAAGAACUGGAACUUGUUUCCUGAGUUGAGUUGUGUUUCCAAUGACCAUAGAAUGAAUUCUUGCUACUUUAGGGCAUAGCAUUGGGAUGCCCCAAUCAGGAUUGAAGUACUCUCUCUCAACUCACAAAUGUAAAUUUGGGAUGUCACUUACUUCUUGUAAAUCUCUGUGUAUACACCUUUAAAACCUAAUAUCCCUUUCUAUAGAGAAGGGUUAUAAGAAUGCAGUUUUCAAACUGAUAUACUUUACAUUAACUUUUCCUUUUUGCAACUGUUCUGAAUUACAAAAAUUAGGUGAAUUUGGUGUUUUCUUCACGUUCUUGUUUUGGUUCUGCAUAAGAUUUCACUAUAUCCACUCUAAUAUUCUUUUGUCUCCCUGAUUCCUUCCAACACCUAAAGAAUUUCUGUAUUCCUUUCCUCACUCUGUGGUGUCUAUUUACCAUACUUCCAGCUUCUGGACCUACUAUGGGAUCCAGGCUGGAGUCAAAGGUAGGAAUCCUUCAUGACAUCCAGAUAUCUGGAGUUUCCUUGUGGCUCAGUGGUAAGGAACCUGACUAGUAUCCAUGAGGAUGUGGGUUUGAUCCCUGGCCUCACUCAGUGGGUUAAGGAUGUGGCAUUGCUGUAAGUUAUGGCAUAGGUUACAGAUGUGGCUCGGAUCUGGCAUUGCUGUGGCUGUGGUGUAGACUGGCAGCUGCAGUUCCAAUUUUUCCCAUAGCCUGGGAACUUCCAUUUGCCAUAGGUAUGGCCCUGAAAAAAAAAAAAAAAAAAAAAAAAAAAAAAAAAGACAUCCAGAUAUAAAAAUAUGUGCAUGGCUGAGAUUAGGAGUAAAAUCACUUUUGGGGGCUCCCCCAAAAUUACUUUAUCCCAAGCUAUAAAUGACAUCCUAAAAUAUAGAAAAACAGACUUGAUAGAAAACCAAACUAAAGGAGAACUUAUUUGGAAAGAGGUUUAUUUUUAUUUUUAUUUUUUUGUCUUUUUCUAGGGCUGCACCCAUGGCGUAUGGAGGUUCCCAGGCUAGGGGUCUGAUCAGAGCUAUAGCCGCUGGCCUACGCCACAGCCACAGCAACACGGGAUCUGAGCCGCAUCUGUGAUCUACACAACAGCUCAGGGAAACCCCAGAUUCUUAACCCACUGAUCGAGGCCAGGGAUCGAACCCACAACCUAGUUCCUAGUAGGAUUCGUUAACCACUGAGCCAAGACGGAAACUCUGGAAAGAGGUUUAUUUUUAAAAUUUUAUAUAAAAUAAACCGUUAGGAGCUGCCUCAUCACUCAACAGGUUAAGGAUCUAGUGUUGACACUUCUGGGGCUCUGGUUGCUGCUGCAGCACAGGUUCAAUCCCUGGCCUGGGAAGUUCUGCAUGCUGCAGGCAUGGCCAAAAAAACCAAAAAACCAAACCAUUAUACCUUUAUUACAAAAGCACCAAGAAUUUGUAGUAAAAAAUAAAUCAAAUUCUAAAAUAUUAAAAUUUGUUUACAAAAUGUUGUGGUGCAUUUUUAUCAACAUCGUGUUUCUAUGGGGAGAAUGUAAUUUCUCUUGAAAUUAACCUCUCUCUCCUUUUCUUUUCCAGUGACACAUCCAUCCUCAUGCUCUGGGUUGCUCAGAAAUUCCAAGAAAUUCAAGUUUCCUGCUGCCUUGCUGACUGGAGCAGACUGGAAUGUGCUACUGCUGAUAACAACAGAAGAGGCUCCAAACUGCAUAUGCAGGCACCCCCAGGAGUAAAUCCUCACUCCACCACUUUUUGCUGAAAGAUAUUGUGCAAGUUAUUUGGCUUUUGUUAUAGGUCAGAUUCCUGGGAAAGAGUGAGGUUUGUGUGGAGGAGGCAAAUUGGGGAGUGAGCUCAGAAAAGUCUGUGAUGGGGAGGGAUGCAGGAUUGGACGGAGGAAGAAGCUGGACCAUGAUGCAGUUUCAGUGGAGACCUCCAGCAAUCCCACAGGGAGCUGGGAUGACCCUUCUGAGUUGUCCCAGUGAGGACUAGUGGUGGGGUUUGGUACUUCCACCGUGACCAGUCAUAGAUUCAGGCAGCCUUCUGAGAAAGGACAUGAGAUGAAAGCUCUAUUUGCCUGGGUCUUGGAGCAGCAGCCAGAGAUCCUGAGAGUAGGCAGAAUGAGCACCCCCUUCCUGAGGGGUACCUGGGCUGCCCACUGUCCCUUGCUACAUGAUCAACAUAUGGCAGAAAAAAGGAAGUCUCCUUGGCCAAUUGCAACCCUUCAUCUCUUAUCCCCUCUUACUUUUAUCCAUCAUAUUUUUCAUGAACUGAUCAUUUGUCUAUUGCUUUUCUGGAACUGCUCUAGAACACACUCCAAGCUCCUUGAGGGCAGGGAUUUUGUUCUGCUCACAACUGUAUGCCCAGUUCCUAAAACAGGGGUUGACAAGGAGUGAACUCUUAAUACAUACUUGUUAAACAAGUGGAAUAAAUGAAUGAAUAAAUAUAACAUAUACUGAACAUUUACUAGGUGGGGAGCUCUCAAUUUCUAAGCACUUGUUAAGAACUAAUUUUCAUAACAACUUCACUGGGGGGGCACUAUUAUUAUCCCCAUUUUACAGAUAAGAACCCAAGACACAGAAUAUUGCAGCCUAGAAGUGUUGUAUUCAGGAUCAGAACCAGGCAAUGGGAUUCAUACCAUAAACCACCAUCCCUCACUCCCUCUCUAGUUGGCCCUCCAUCCAAACCAGUUAUCCCUACCCUUCCUCCUUUCCCCUUUCUGCUGCUUCCUAGAGUACACGUACAGUGGUCUCAUCAUCGCCUGCUCUGGAUAUUUUUGUUGAAUCUUUGUUGCUUUAUCAGUUCCAAGCAAAAGGUCCUGCCCUUUCUUCCUACUUUCUUAAUACUAGUGCCUUAGAACCUGAUCAAUUCACCAGGUUAUUUUUUUUUUUUUUUAACACAGACAUUGACAGCUGCAGAGGCAGAAGAGUUACAGUGCUCUUUUGCAUACAUUAUCUCAUUUGAUUAGCCCCAAAGCCUUGGGAUAUGGGCUGUACAGGGAGGGCCGUCUGCUGUUUACAGAUAAGGAAACAGAGCCUCAGAAAGGUUAUGUGAAAUUAUUGGAGGCAGAAUUUCUAGGUCAAAGUCUUAUGAUCGCUCCCUUUUGCUCAUUCUUCUUCCUUGUAGAUGGGGGCCGGAGGGUAGAAAUUAAACUCAAAGCAUUUCUGCCCUCCGUGUUUCUUGAAAGUUGAACAUUGGUGAGCAUUUAUCAUCAGCUUCUCCCUACUUGACAAAUGAGGAAACUGAGGCACCAAGAGGUUACGUGAUUUCUCCGGGUUACACAGCAAUGUCACUGAGCUGCGAUAUUCAUUUCAAAAUGCACAUGCUUGGGCUUUUUGGCACCUACGCUGCUUCUCCCAAGUUAACAAUUCCAGGGUCUGCUUCAAAGCUCCAUCCACAUUUUCUCGAGUAAUGUAAUAGGGUUCAUAUUUAACAUUCAAAAAAAUGAUGCUAGCUAAAAUAAGAAAAGCAGUUUACUUUAAAUGCUCUCCUGAUGCAUUGCCAUUCUGCCAGCCUGAGAAGGUAUUUGAACCGGCAGUAUUGGCCGCUUUACUUAUUAUAAAGAACCCCAUUAUCCAGUUACAUCAGCAAAGUUUCAUGGCAUCUUUCAGAGGCUGAAGGAGAGCAGGAACAUCUAUUUUCCUCUUUGAAUUUAACUUAAUCUUAAAGAAGUCCAGGUUGUCUUCCUGAGGCUGAGCUCCAGGCCACAGAUUCCAAACCAGAGAAAAGUAAUUUGAAAGAGUCUGUUUUGCCCAGGCCAGUGAAAUGCUUUGCUUCUUUGCUGCUGAGCUCAAGAGUGGACACAGGUACGUGGAAAUAUAUAUUUAUGUUUUGAGAGAAAUGGUUAGGAGAGGAAAUGCUACAGUUCUGUCCUUGUAGUGGAGAAACUCAGGUCAGUGUCUGGAUUAUCAGACCUCUGCACAACCAUGGUUCAAAACCCAUCACUCUGAUCAAAGCCAUGGUAGCUGUAGCAGUUUUAAGACCUGUCUAGGAGUUCCCCUCGUGGCGCAGUGGUUAACGAAUCCAACUAGGAACCAUGAGGUUGCAGGUUCGAUCCCUGCCCUUGCUCAGUGGGUUAACGAUCCGGCGUUGCCGUGAGCUGUGGUGUAGUCUGCAGACUCGGCUCGGAUCCCGAGUUGCUGUGGCAUUGGUGUAGGCUGGUGGCUACAGCUCCGAUUGGACCCCUAGCCUGGGAACCUCCAUAUGCCGCGGGAGCGGCCCAAGAAAUAGCAAAAAAAAAGACAAAAAAAAAAAAAAAAUAAAAAACCUGUCUACAUCUUCUUUCACAUGCCAUCAAGAGGUGAAGUCUAAUUCUCCCCCUGGCUUGAAUUGGGGCAGAAAUUUAUGACUGUCCUGGCAGAUAAAAUGUGGGCGAUGUGACCUUAAGUCACUUAUAAGACUGGGUUACAAACAGUCAUGCAACUUCAGUCUAGCUCUCUCUUAGGUCAUGUGCUUAUUUUAUUUAUUUUAUUUUAUUUUAUUUACGGCUGCAUCUGUAGCAUAUGGAAGUUCCCAGGCUAGAGUCAAAUCGGAGCUGCAGCUGCCAGCCUACACCACAACCACAGCAACGCAGGAUCCGAGCCAUGUCUGCAACCUACACCACCCCUCAUGGUAAUGCCAGAUCCUUAACCCACUGAGUAAAGCCAAUGAUCGAACUGUGUCCUCAUGGAUACUAGUCAGGUUUGUUACCACCGAGCCACAAUGGGAACUCUGGUCACGUGCUUUGAGAUGGCUGCCCUGGCCAUGCUGGAGAGACCAUGUGAAGAAGGAAGUGCCUGAGGAUGCUAGCUGAUGCCCAGGAGAACAGAAAUGAGCCUUCUCUGCUGAGUUUGGCCCAAAUUGCAUAUUAAUGAAUCACGUAGAUUAUUAUUGUUUUAUUUACACAUUACAUUUAGAGUAGUUUGUUGCAGAAUAACAGAUAAUCUUAACAAUGGCCAAUGCCAUAGAUGACAUACUGGAAUGUGAGUCGGAGUUCAUAGAACUGAACAGGUAUGAAUUAAGCAUCUUGUUUUUAGAUUUGAAUGACCAUGUAUGCAAUGCCUUGAACCCAGGAAUCACUUCACAUGUUCGCUGAGUGAAUGGAUGAAUGAGUGAAGAAUCUUGGGGAGCUCUCUCUCAGUAGAAUAACACUGGGGGAUUACAACCGAUCGCCUUUCUAAUUGAAACCAUCCCUAGGAUGAGGUUGUUAAAAACCUAUACAAUCCAAGUUAAAGGAAUCACCAGUUUUCUCACAUUGAUCACAAGGAAGACUGUGAUAGCUUUGAGCAUAGUUAUUUAAGGGGAACCGACAAGCUGAAGUGUGGCAAGUAUGGUAUGGGUGCUUGAAAACCUGUUUCAAGAAAAGUUGAGAGAUGCCUAUUUAGCCUGAAGAAGAAGAAGGGAGAAAGAGACGUUGUUUCAAGUACUUGAAGGAGGUGACAGAUUUCUUUUCUAUCAUCCAAAACCUGGAUUAGAAGAAAGAAGCCAAUGCUAUAAAAUAGCAGUUGGCCAACUUUUCAGUCAAGGGCCUGAUAGUAAAUACUUUAGGCCUUGAAAGCCCCAUGGUCGCUGUUGCAACUACUCAAUCUGCCUUUGUUGCACAAAAGCAGACCUGGUCAAUAUGUAAACACAUGAGCAUAGCUGUGUUCCAAUAAAACUUUAUUCACACAAAGAAGUUGUUUGCCAGGUUUGGCCCUUGCCCAUUGUCUGCCAAUCCUUCUAUAAGGAAAUGGUCUUUUUCUGGGAAUUCCUGCUGUGGCACAGUGGGUUAAGAAUCUAACUGCAGAAGUUCCCGUUGUGGUGCAGCUGAAAUGAAUCCAACAAGGAACCAUGAAGUUGUGGGUUUGAUCCCUGGCCUUGCUCAGUGGGUAAAGGAUCCGGCGUUGCGGUGAGCUGUGGUGUAGGUCUCAGACUCGGCUUGAAUCUGGCGUGGCUGUAGCUGUGGCUGUGGCCAGCAGCUACAGCUCAGAUUCAGCCCCUAGCCUGGGAACUUCCAUGUGCCUCGGGUUGGCCCCAAAAAGCAAAAAAAAAAAAAAAAAAAAA